UCAGGCGCUUGCUGGUUGCUGGCCCAGCAGGAGUAACAGAGACAGAUAUGGACCCUCGCAGAACUUACAGUCCAGCACUUGAAAGUCUUGGCAAACAAUUCCUGUUGAAUACUUCCAGUAACAGGAUGCUCACUACCUUGGGACAGCCUAUUUUCGGGGAAUCCCCUUUAUAGCUCUCGAGGCCUGACCCCAGCGUCCCUGUGAACAUCGUCUGACAGCUGCAUGGAGUGCAGCCGGGCUCCUGUGCCGGGUGCCAGCUGGACGUGCUUGGCGGCCAGGGCCUGGGAGCCACCUCUCGGGAUGUCAGCGGAGAGCUGCAGCCGCCCUUCCGUCAGCAGGAAGCCCAGCCACAAACACUUGGACAGGAAGCCCCGGCGCUGGCCAGCUGAGCCAGAUCUGGUUUCUCCUGCGUCUGAGGCUUUGGCCCGGGCUGGAGGAAGGCGAGCCAGGUGCUGUGGCUACACUGACAGGGCCGGCGGUUGGGCUCCCCCUUUGCCUGGGGAUGUGGGAUCCAGGGUGUGAGCGGAAAAGCAUCAUCAAGCUGGGCCAGAAGAGGUGCUUCCUGGAGGAAGGUCGAGGGAGCAGGGAACACAGCGUCUAGCAGAGCGGGGCCAGCUGGCUGAGAUGCGCAGAGACUCCUUUGUGAUGGUUCCAGACACAAUGUGUCCUUGGGCCCAGACCUCCGGCACAGACCCAGACCAACCUCCAGGUGCCUGCACCUCCGGGAAAGCACCGCACAGUCUCUCUGGGCGAGACAUCCACACAUUCCCAGCUUGACGAAUGACUUCUCUCAGGGGAGGACUCUUUUGUAACCCACCAAGCUGCAUCGUGAGGGAAUUAAUAAAAAAAUAGAGUGAGCUCAGCUGGAGACAAAGGCAA